rnacentral:misc_RNA from 1 species
ACCAGUGCUGUUUGGCAUGGAUUGUAUCCUGGAUACAUUAUAUUCUUUGUCCAGUCAGCAUUAAUGAUUGCUGGUUCAAGAGUCAUAUACAGAUGGCAACAAGCUAUACCUCCGAAAAUGGCUCUAAUCAAGAAGAUGCUAGUGUUCGUGAAUUUUGCUUACACAGUUUUGGUUCUUAAUUACUCCUCUGUUGGUUUCAUGGUAUUAAGCUUGAAUGAAACAAUUGCUGCAUAUGGCAG